rnacentral:rRNA from 1 species
AGCGAACGCUGGCGGCAGGCCUAGCACAUGCAAGUCGAACGAACCUUUCGGGGUUAGUGGCGGACGGGUGAGUAACACGUGGGAACGUGCCUUUAGGUUCGGAAUAACUCAGGGAAACUUGUGCUAAUACCGAAUGUGCCCUUCGGGGGAAAGAUUUAUCGCCUUUAGAGCGGCCCGCGUCUGAUUAGCUAGUUGGUGGAGGUAAUGGCUCACCAAGGCGACGAUCAGUAGCUGGUCUGAGAGGAUGAUCAGCCACAUUGGGACUGAGACACGGCCCAAACUCCUACGGGAGGCAGCAGUGGGGAAUCUUGCGCAAUGGGCGAAAGCCUGACGCAGCCAUGCCGCGUGAAUGAUGAAGGUCUUAGGAUUGUAAAAUUCUUUCACCGGGGACGAUAAUGACGGUACCCGGAGAAGAAGCCCCGGCUAACUUCGUG